GCCUGCGUGGUGUAGUGGUCAGAACACUUAACGCGUAACUGAAAGGUCCGUGGUUCGAUUCCCGGCGAAGGCG
rnacentral:tRNA from 1 species